UACGAAGGGGGCUAGCGUUGUUCGGAAUUACUGGGCGUAAAGCGCACGUAGGCGGAUAUUUAAGUCAGGGGUGAAAUCCCAGAGCUCAACUCUGGAACUGCCUUUGAUACUGGGUAUCUUGAGUAUGGAAGAGGUAAGUGGAAUUGCGAGUGUAGAGGUGAAAUUCGUAGAUAUUCGCAGGAACACCAGUGGCGAAGGCGGCUUACUGGUCCAUAACUGACGCUGAGGUGCGAAAAGCGUGGGGAGCGAACAGG
rnacentral:rRNA from 1 species